rnacentral:rRNA from 1 species
CCUACGGGUGGCAGCAGUGAGGAAUAUUGGUCAAUGGGCGAGAGCCUGAACCAGCCAAGUAGCGUGAAGGAUGACUGCCCUACGGGUUGUAACCUUCUUUUAUAUGGGAAUAAAGUGAGUCACGUGUGCCUUUUUGUAUGUACUUUAUGAAUAAGGAUAGGCGAACUCCGUGCCAGCAGCCGCGGUAAUACGGAGGAUCCGAGCGUUAUCCGGAUUUAUUGGGUUUAAAGGGAGCGUAGAUGGUUUGUUAAGUCAGUUGUGAAAGUUUGCGGCUCAACCGUAAAAUUGCAAUUGAUACUGGCAGUCUUGAGUACAGUUGAGGUAGGCGGAAUUCGUGGUGUAGCGGUGAAAUGCUUAGAUAUCACGAAGAACUCCGAUUGCGAAGGCAGCUUACUAGACUGCCACUGACAUUGAGGCUCGAAAGUGUGGGUAUCAAACAGGAUUAGAUACCCUAGUAGUC